CCUACGGGAGGCAGCAGUGGGGAAUAUUGCACAAUGGGGGAAACCCUGAUGCAGCGACGCCGCGUGAGUGAGGAAGUAUUUCGGUAUGUAAAGCUCUAUCAGCAGGGAAGAAAAUGACGGUACCUGACUAAGAAGCCCCGGCUAACUACGUGCCAGCAGCCGCGGUAAUCCGUAGGGGGCAAGCGUUAUCCGGAUUUACUGGGUGUAAAGGGAGCGUAGACGGCUAAUCAAGUCAGAAGUGAAACCCCAGGGCUCAACGUUGGGACUGCUUUUGAAACUGAGUAGCGAGAGUGAAGGAGAGGGAAGCGGAAUGCCUAGUGUAGCGGUGAAAGGCGUAGAUAUUAGGAGGAACACCAGUGGCGAAGGCGGCUUACUGGACUGUAACUGACGUGGAGGCUCGAAAGCGUGGGGAGCAAACAGGAUUAGAUACCCUUGUAGUC
rnacentral:rRNA from 1 species